rnacentral:rRNA from 1 species
AGAUAAGAACGAGAAGGGCAUUUGGUGGAUGCCUUGGCUCCAAGAGGCGAUGAAGGACGUGACAGGCUGCGAAAAGCUGUGGUUAGCUGCCAAUACGCUAUGACCCACAGAUAUCCGAAUGGGGAAACCCACCACGUACGUGGUAUCUGCACCUGAAUACAUAGGGUGUAGAGGCAAACCCGGGGAACUGAAAUAUCUAAGUACCCGGAGGAAAGGACAUCAAACGAGACUCCGCAAGUAGUGACGAGCGAACGCGGAUCAGGCCAGUGGCUUUUUUAAUUGUGACCGGAAUAAAAUGGAAAGUUUAACCAUAGUGGGUGAUAGUCCCGUACGGGAAGCAAUUUUAAGAGUCCAUGAGUAGGGCGGGGCCCGAGAAACCCUGUUCGAAUAUGGGAGGACCACCUUCCAAGCCUAAGUACUCCUUGGAGACCGAUAGUGAACAAGUACCGUGAGGGAAAGGUGAAAAGAACCCCGACAAGGGGAGUGAAAUAGACACUGAAACCGAAUGCCUACAAGCAGUAGGAGCACCUAUAUGGUGUGACUGCGUACCUUUUGUAUAAUGGGUCAGCGACUUAGUGUUCGUAGCAAGCUUAAGCCGUUAGGUGUAGGCGUAGCGAAAGCGAGUCUUAAUAGGGCGAUAUAGUUACGGGCAUUAGACCCGAAACCGAGUGAUCUAGCCAUGAGCAGGUUGAAGGUACGGUAACACGUACUGGAGGACCGAACCCACGCAUGUUGCAAAAUGCGGGGAUGACUUGUGGCUAGGGGUGAAAGGCCAAUCAAACUCGGAUAUAGCUGGUUCUCCGCGAAAACUAUUUAGGUAGUGCGUCAUAUGAUUACCGCCGGGGGUAGAGCACUGGAUGGGCUAGGGGGGAGCGAUCCUUACCAAACCUAACCAAACUCCGAAUACCGGCGAGUACAGUAUGGCAGACAGUCCAUGGGUGCUAACGUCCAUGGACGAGAGGGAAACAACCCUGACCGCCGAUUAAGGUCCCAAAGUUAUCACUAAGUGGGAAAGGAUGUGGGAAGGCCAAGACAGCCAGGAGGUUGGCUUAGAAGCAGCCAUCCUUUAAAGAAAGCGUAAUAGCUCACUGGUCUAUUUAAGCUAGCCUGCGCCGAAAAUGUACCGGGGCUCAAGUGAUACACCGAAAUCGCGGAUAUCGUAAGAUAUGGUAGCGGAGCGUUCCGUAAGCCUGUGAAGGAUGAUCCGUGAGGACUUCCGGAGGUAUCGGAAGUGAGAAUGCUGACAUGAGUAGCGUUUAAGGCAUGUGAGAUUCAUGCCCGCCGAAAGUCCAAGGGUUCCUGCGCCAGGUAGAUCCACGCAGGGUGAGUCGGCCCCUAAGGCGAGGCCGAAAGGCGUAGUCGAUGGGAAUCAGGUUAAUAUUCCUGAACCUUCCAGUAGUGACGAAUCCCGUAUAUUGUAUACUCUUAUUGGAUUGAGUAUGCAGUGAAGGGGUUCCGGGAAAUAGCUCUGGAAAUAAGACCGUACCCCAAACCGACACUGGUGGACUGGUAGAGUAUACCAAGGCGAUUGAGAAAAUGAUGUUGAAGGAACUCGGCAAAAUGCCCCUGUAACUUCGGGAGAAAGGGGACCUCCGUUCGGGCAACCGAGCGGAGGUGGCACAGACCAGGGGGUGACGACUGUUUACCAAAAACACAGGACUCUGCAAAGUCGCAAGACGACGUAUAGGGUCUGACGCCUGCCCGGUGCCGGAAGGUUAAGAGGAGCUGUGAGAGCAGCGAAUUGAAGCCCCGGUAAACGGCGGCCGUAACUAUAACGGUCCUAAGGUAGCGAAAUUCCUUGUCGGGUAAGUUCCGACCUGCACGAAUGGCGUAACGAUUGCCCCGCUGUCUCCAACAUCAACUCAGCGAAAUUGAACUCUCCGUGAAGAUGCGGAGUACCCACGGUUAGACGGAAAGACCCCGUGCACCUUUACUACAGCUUUGCAGUGGUGCCAGGGAAUACAUGUGUAGGAUAGGUGGGAGUCUAUGAAAGAGCGGCGCUAGUUGCUCCGGAGACAUCCUUGAAAUACCACCCUUGUGUUCUUUGGCAUCUAACCGAGACCGGUUAUCCCGGUCCGGGACCCUGCAUGGUGGGUAGUUUGACUGGGGCGGUCGCCUCCUAAAUAGUAACGGAGGCGCACAAAGGUAGGCUCAAGUUGGUCGGAAAUCAACUGAUGAGCGCAAUGGUAUAAGCCUGCUUAACUGCGAGACUGACAGGUCGAGCAGAGACGAAAGUCGGUCAUAGUGAUCCGGUGGUUCCAUGUGGAAGGGCCAUCGCUCAACGGAUAAAAGGUACGCCGGGGAUAACAGGCUGAUCUCCCCCAAGAGUUCACAUCGACGGGGAGGUUUGGCACCUCGAUGUCGACUCAUCACAUCCUGGGGCUGAAGCAGGUCCCAAGGGUAUGGCUGUUCGCCAUUUAAAGUGGUACGUGAGUUGGGUUCAGAACGUCGUGAGACAGUUCGGCUCCUAUCUGCCGUGGGUGUAGGAAAAUUGAAAGGAUUUGUCCCUAGUACGAGAGGACCGGGAUGAACAUACCUCUGGUGUACCAGUUGUCGUGCCAACGGCACAGCUGGGUAGCUAAGUAUGGAAAAGAUAACCGCUGAAAGCAUCUAAGCGGGAAACUUGCCUUGAAACUAAUUUUCCCUAUGAGGGCCGAGGAAGACUACCUCGUUGAUAGGCAGGAUGUGGAAGUGUGGUAACACAUGAAGCUAACCUGUACUAAUUCCCCCAUUGACUUAUCU